AGAGAGAGAGAGAGAGAGAGAGAGAGAGAGAGAGAAAUAGAGAUAGAGAGAGAAUAAAGUCAUACAAAGACUUCUGCCUGAGGCAGCAAAGGUCCCAGAUUCAAUCUGCAGGAGCCCCAUAAGCUAGAGCUGAAAUGUUCUCUGUCAAAAAUAAAUAAAUAAAAAAAAUAAAUAAUAAAAGGUGGUCAGAGAGGUUGUCCAUAGGGAAGUGGAAGAUCCAUGUACCCUCCCUUUGCCUGCCUCCCCCACCAUCUAUUCACCAAUAAUAGGCAGAGUCCUCUGUCUUUGCCAGAAGCUUAUCUGUCAGAUGCCAUGAAUGAAUUUAACUUCACACAAAGUCCUGAAAAGGGAAAUUAUAAAGGAACCAGACAACUCAAGGUUAAAAAGAAAAAUCUUGAAGAACCUACAGAACCAAAUGACUUUUCAGCAUGAGAAUUAACACACACAUCAUGAGAUUUGGAAGCUGAAGGUGUAGCCUCAAGGUCUGUCUGAUAUCAGUGAAGUAUGUGUCAUUGAACUUUACCCAAAACUGGCUAAGGAAAAAGCACUGGAAUUAAGAAAUGGAGAAGAAAUUGUUCGUCCUCUGUGGAAACUUGGAUAUGAUCUAUCAGAAUUACAACACAUGCAAAAAAAAAAAAAGGGUUGGAGGCAUGGGUAUAGACUUGGAGUUCACCAUGUGGUACAACUGAAAAAAGAAUCAUUCACACCAUCAGAGAGCUUGAAAGGAACAGGAAAGAAAACUGGAGGAGCUGAGAGAAGAAAAUGAUUGCAAGAGGCUGCUGCUCACCAACCUAGAAUCUGCAUAUGAGCCUUUCUCAAAGGACACUGUUGCUCUUGCUAUUCUAACUGCAACCCACAGAGGCCCAGUAGUGUGGUGUGUAUGGGGCGGGGCAUGAGGUGCAGGAGGGACACUGGGUUCUCAAGAUCCUCAGAGUAGGAGAAGGACCAUGUUGUGGAGACCAAAGAGUCUGGGAUCAAUUUCAAGGGUUACUGAAUUUCCAUGAAAACCAACCCUGAACACCUACAAACAAAAUACAGUAUCUGCAUGUGUGAGCUUUCAAGUCAUUUGAUUCAUCUUUUAGUAGAAAUCCCAUGGUGAUCCAAGAAGUCAUGCAUGACCAGCAGAUAAGAGGCAUUGAUGGCUUCAGACCCCAUCUGGUUUGUCCUGGCAGGACUCCUGGGAGACAGAUGCAAAUGCACCUGCCAUAAAGCAAAGAUAAUUGUUCCUACUGAAGGAAAGAGCUGAAGGGCAACAUGACAGACACUAUGACCUUCUAGCAGCAGGCAGCUUACUGGCUCCUCAACCCACAAAACAGCUGUGCUCCAUCAGCUGGAGACAUUAUAUCAGUAUCUACGAGGUGAGAGCAGAAAUGAUGCCAAUGCCACUCAUGCUCAAUAGUGGGGCAAUAGCUGCCUCUAUGAAGUAAUUACAGCUGAGCCUGGCCCUCCCAUUCUGCUGGGGUACUUUGAUACACCAGUCACAGUC